GUAGUUGACUCGUGGCACGAGGACACGCUGGCGGCGUGCCUAACACAUGCAAGUCGAGCGAGUGGAGUUCUUCGGAACAAAGCUAGCGGCGGACGGGUGAGUAACACGUGGGCAACCUGCCUCAUAGAGGGGGAAUAGCCUUCCGAAAGGGAGAUUAAUACCGCAUAAGAUUGUAGCUUCGCAUGAAGUAGCAAUUAAAGGAGCAAUCCGCUAUGAGAUGGGCCCGCGGCGCAUUAGCUAGUUGGUGAGGUAACGGCUCACCAAGGCGACGAUGCGUAGCCGACCUGAGAGGGUGAUCGGCCACAUUGGGACUGAGACACGGCCCAGACUCCUACGGGAGGCAGCAGUGGAGAAUAUUGCACAAUGGGGGAAACCCUGAUGCAGCAACGCCGCGUGAGUGAUGACGGCCUUCGGGUUGUAAAGCUCUGUCUUCAGGGACGAUAAUGACGGUACCUGAGGAGGAAGCCACGGCUAACUACGUA
rnacentral:rRNA from 1 species